GCUGAGUGGAUCUGUCUAUUUCAUAUAUUUGAUUAUUGAAUGUUUCUGAUUAUAUCAUGCAUUUGAUUGAUAAUUGGUUCUUACCAGCGACUUUAUGUAUUUGAUCAGUGGUCCAAAUUUCAAUAGUACAAUUUUGAAGUCACCACAGAUAACUUGACACGUGGAAAAACUUGAAGGUUGGCGUCGGGGGAGUAUAUAAAUGGUCAUUUGUCACUCUGUGUGCAAACCCUUAAGAAACAAACAUUUAUAUGGAAGGUGAAGAAGGCUCCUCCAAUGUUACUCAAUUUCCAGCAGAUUCAAUGUGUAUUCUACCACCAGAAAUCAUCACUGAAAUCCUCUCAAGGCUUCCUGUAAAAUCUCUGUUGAAAUUCAGGUCUGUUUCGAAAUCUUGGCUUGCUUUAAUAUGUAGCCCUGAAUUUAUCAACACCCAUCUCAGUUUAUCAACCAAUGAGGAAGAGACGCUCCAUUUGAUUAUUUUGAAUGAUCUUGAGUUUGGAGAUAAGUGGUGUUUCAAAGGAUGUCCUGUUGCAUCUUUAUUUAAUAACUCUGUUACUGAGGCUGUUGACUUGGGUUAUCCCAUUGAAGACGACAGUUAUGAUCUCCAUAUUGUGGGAUCUUGCAAUGAGUUGAUUUUACUUUGGUUCUAUGGAAUCCAACAAUUAGAAAACACAAGAAUUUGCCUGAAUUUAGACCUAGGUGGGAAGGACCAAAUUACGAUCCCGUAUAUGGUUUGGGGUAUGAUGAGCUCCAUCGUGAUUAUAAGGUAGUGGGUAUUUUUUUAUCAUUAUACUGCUAAUGAUAGAGUAGAUGACGUUGAGAUCAAAGUAUGAGUGAUUGUUGGAAUAGUGUUGAGUAUUGUGGGGAGUCAUUCGUUAUCAAAAACAAUGAUGGCUCUUAUGAGGACAUUUUGAUUUUUUCAGGCUUGCUUGUGGAUGGGAAGCUUCAUUGGAAUAUGGUCACGAAUAAGAAUAUUCUUUCCUUUGAUAUAGCUAAUGAGAAAUGGGAUAACGUGGAGAAACCCUCCUCUUAUGGAGUAGGAGAGACCGAAUCGUUUGUGUGGAAGUUGGGUAGUAAUCUUUGUGUCUAUACUGAUUACAAGGAAACUCAAUUUUGCAUUUGGGUAAUGAAGGAGUAUGGGGUUAAACAAUCUUGGAUAAAGAAGUAUACCAUCAGGUAUCCAAACGAUAAAAAAUAUUUUUCGCCUCUUUUCGUGUCAAAUAAAGGUGAAAUGUUGUUCUUGAUUCAAUCAGAGUUCAUGAUAUACAAUUCAAAAGAUGACUCACUUAGAUAUACAAAUGUUACUAACCGUGAAAGUAAUCAUGAAUUGCAAAUCUACAUUGAAACCCUAGUUUGUCCUUUUUCAACUGAAGGGACAGAUAAUGCUGCAAAAGAAAGCGGGGAAAAGCUUAUAUCAAAACAAUCGAGUAACAAAUAGCUUACCAUGCACGAGCACAGCCCUUCAUUUGGUGCUUCUACAUCUCCUGCGUUUCUACUUAGUCAUCUGAGGUGUGAUAUGUUGGUGAGGCGCUUUGUUAGUUAUUACUUAUGUACUAAUGAACUUCUAGAAGUGAAAGCUAAUGUUACAAACAACUAUUCCUAUCCCAUGAUGUUGUUCUGCUCAAGAAGUUGUUAUAUUUUGUGGAUUGGAAGUUAUAUGCUAUCUACUAAUAUUUAAUGAA